GUACUGAUGAAGAGUCCAAAAGAGCCAGGACGAAACACACGUCCGGUAC
rnacentral:hammerhead_ribozyme from 1 species